UGUUUUCUGUUGUGAAUAGGAUAUAUUUGCUGAAAUUUGGUGGAUUUCAAUAUGCUGGUUCAUGAAAUCAAGUGCAGAAGGACAGUGCCCUCCCUCUGCCCACAGUACAUGAUGAUUGAACUCAUAGAAAUAAGAGUUCUUGAAAAACGCAUGGUGAAUCUACAUAAUUAAAAAUCUUUCCUGCUGGGGGUUAAUGAUUUGGGUAGAUUAACUUGAUCAUGUAAUGUGAAAUGUCGAAAUCAAGAGUGUGCAUCCUGAAUACUGGUGCAGCUCUGCAAUGGGAGACAAUUCUAAGUAAAUAACCAGAGAAAGUAUUUUGCAAUUAAAUUAAAGAUGUUUCCAAACUACUGUACUUUGCUAUAAAAAACCAUCAUCUUGAAAAGUCAAGUUUCAUUUAUUUUAAUUAGUGCUGUCAUGAAGUAUUCCAUUUGGCACACACUGACUAACAAGCCCUUUUCCAGACACCAAUUUGAAAUGUGUGUGUCAGAAAAAUGAUCGCUGCCUCUUCAUGUAGUGUCUUCUGGGCCAGUCUUCAGGUACCUGGGAUCAGCCUCACCCCACCCAGGUCAUUGCAGCACUGUGAUUGGAAUCAGGUGGAAACAGAGGCUUUCUUCCCCUGGAUUUGCCUCCUGAGAGGUGAUGGAAAGGCUGCUGACAUCAGUCAGAGGAUUUCUGCUGUCUUCAAAAAAAAGCCAGGCUGAAAGCUGUGUGCACCAGGCUGAAUCUCCACUCCCCAUCACCGUUCUCACACUCGAGUUAUUUAACAGGAGAGGGAUUGGUAUCAAAUAGAUGGGAAGCCAAAGUGGUCUUGAUCCUCCUCGGAGACUUAGUGUUGAAUUGCAUUAAAUAUAAGCAGAGAAGCUUUUUUAUUAUUAAUGGGAUAGAAAAUCAGAACCAUCAAGGAAAAUUAUAUAACUUCUAUUAAGAUUGAUGAGUUGAGGCUAAGUCCAUGUAUUUGCAACAAGAACGUUCUCUGCAACUCCUGGAAAAGUGCUUCUUCAGGGAAGACCUCACCUGGAAAUAAUGCCAGGGGAAAUGCCAUAAACCCCUCCUGGGGCAGCAUCCCAGCGUGGUGGGCAGUUGGGUGGGCAAUGGCCAAAUAUCUGCAGGCACCAGGCUGCCAUGGGGGUGGUCUGCACCAGGGUGGGCAAUGUGGGGCUGCCAGGAGUCGACCUCCCUCGUGGUUUUUUGCUUAAAUUCCCCUCUCUGUUGUCUGACUUGUUUUCAUAUCUGCCAAGUAUUGCAGUUCCUUCUGCAUGUCCAAUGAGGGGAUUAUUUUGCAGGCUUAAAUCUCACUCCUAAAAAAAAAAAAAAAAAAAAAAAGUUCACUGAUAAAUACCUGUUGUCUACAUGGGGAGGCUGGUAAGGAAUAAGCCAAAGCAUUAGUGUGAAGGGCACUGUCAAUUCUGUAGCACUGCCUCUUAUUUCACAGGGCUAACGUCACAUCCAGAGUGCUCAAAGCAGUCUUUGUGCAGCACAAGGUAUCCUCUGGGGAGCGGGUGAAGAGUAGCUAUUCUGAGCUGCCCCCUUAUUUAGGAGGAAUACAGGCAUCGCAGAAUGGCUUUGUCUGGAUAAUAAUAAUUUUAAUUUCCUCAUUCAGAAGCUCCUCUUAUCUUCUACCUGCGCGUAACUGAUUGAGCGAUAAGGACAUUCCCUCUUUCCUUCUCACCUUAUAACAAGCACCAGCACAUCUCUGCCAGUUUGAAACUCAGCAAGUGUGCACUCUGCACCUUCAAGUGGGUCCUAAUCCAAACAUUAUAUGGCUGAAAGCAUUCGAGUGCUUAAAGGAUGCUCAGCUUUUUCCCUGCUCCCCAGGGGUAACACACACAGAUGUACUCGUCAGUAGGUCCCUCCCCUGAAUCUUGUACAGCAGCAGCAUGACCUCUAAAUAGACUCCAUCUACACGGACUCCCGCAUCUGAUUUCCUCUCCACUGUUAAUCUGAGGUUUUUGUGAAAACUAUUGCUGUUGGGUUGUCUUUGGCUGGUGUGAUUCCCAUGCUGAAUGCUUCUAAUGCUCUCAGUAACUUUCAUCUUGGCACCCAAGAAUCGGCUCUGUAGCCCCUUUAUGCCAACUUACAAAAUCAUCCCUUCAGCUGACACCCAUCGAGGCAAAUGGACAAAAGUGAGCAUUUUGAUUUGGGAUCCAUGAAAGAAGGGGAUAAAUGAAGUGAAUUUGGGCUCACUGGAUGAAGGAAGGGCAGGUCCAACUCCAGCCCCUAUUGCUCUAAAUUAUCUCAGAACAUCCUUGUGAGGCAUUGAGCCCCAGGAAAAUAUUACAAGGCAGCAGUGAUCAGCCUCGAUGGACAGGCACAACAGCACGAUAACAGCCCUUCAGCCAUCGAGGCGUCCUUAAAGGCAUCGCUGGGCAGGGGAUUUUUAAAGCAAGAUGUGAUGUGUUGGAGGCUGAACUCAGUUUUACAGCAGCAAAGCCCCUGCCAUCAGAGGAGCAACCCCAGAUUAACAUCAGUGGGAAUCAGCCCUGCAGCGCCAACAGGGAGCCACAAUGGGGCUGGAGCAAGCAUCUGUGUUGACUUGCUCAUGUGAGGAGGAGCGGGAAGUGUUUGUGAUGAAAUGUGAAACUGUUUGAAAUUCACAGUUUGUCACAGGCCAUUGUGAAUUCAAGAACAGGCCUUUUUUUCAAAGGAUUUUUUUGUGAUGGCAUAUUAAGAAAAAACAGGCCACUUUCUAGUAAAAAUGGCGAGGGAAGCAAGCCUGCUCAGGAGCAAUGCUUUGAUAAUAUGAGCCCAUUUUCCAUGGCUUUGGCAUUAAAAAUACAGAGAAGUACACACUGUCCAAAAUCUGCACAGAAAACAACCGUGUUGUCAAAGCUGUGAACAAAGAGAAAUGGGAGAAAAGAGGAGAAACACAUUCUUAUCCUUCUUUAGGAGAACACUACCUAGAUAUUUGCUUGUGUUUGGGGUAUCUCAGGAACUGGUCCACAUCUCUGUGCACUGGGGGAGAAAAGUCCUGAGGGCUACACCCAGGUCACAGCAGGUUUCACUGCUCUGACCUAGCAUUAAGCUGGUUAGUUUGUGUCAAAGAAUUACACAGCUUUUCCUGUUCCCUCCUGUGGCAUUAAUAGCAGCAAAAUCAAGUUGCCAGCAAUCCCCACGCCUUGUGCAUCCGAACCAACCCCACGUUGCUGUGCUACGGUGAUUGGAGUAUGGGGAUUUCUGGGGGAGGAUAAAGCAAAACCUUGCUUUGUUUGCCUGCUGUCCUAAAUUUCACCCAAGUAGCUUUGCCUCAGCACUUUGAACUUUGCAUAACUCUUUAAAAUGAUAAUAGGAGGAAAAAAUAAAAGGAAAAAAAAAAAUGUGUUUUGUUGUUGUUGUUGUUCCAAAAGCAGGAGAGGGCCUUGCUGGAGCUUAACCCCUGAGCCCCCCGGGUAGUGCGGGGCAGGGGAUGCGGGAGGCACAGGGGCACUCCUCGGGUCCGGCCGGUGUUUGCGUGACUUAACAGUGACAUCCAGCGGUCACCGAGCUCCGCUGUCUUGUCCCGGCGCAAACCCAGGCAGACCUCGGAGCACCAAAUAAUCUCCAAAUCAUCCCGGUUUUUCCUCGGUUUCAUAACCCCCACUUGUUUGCAGUAUCGAGAAUAUUGUUCAUAAUUAAGCUGCGAUAAAUGUAAAAAUAAAUCAAAACCCUGUUAAACACUGAAUCACAGAAACUUUUCCUUCUAGUGGUUAUUGCCCUAAACAGAAAAAUAAGCAGUUUUCAUCUCAAGUUUAACAUUGCAGACAUAUUUUCACAUGAUAAUUUGGUUUUCAAAAAGUCUAACUGUGAAGUUUAAUGAUACCACAUGAAGCAGCUUGUCAG